CAAACCCUAAAAUCUUUUUAACUCUAAAAUUUCCUUUCAAACCCUAUUGCGCCGUCACUUCAUCUUCACUCUCGAACCCAGCAGCUUCCUCGAGCCUUCAUCGUUGUAAUCGUUCAACCUAUUGCAUUCAUCGUUCAGCCUUCAUCGCGUUCAUCACUGCCCUUCAUCUCACCCAGCCUGCAUCGCCUUCGUCGCACCCAGCCUUCAUCGCUGUAAUCGUCAUCUUCGUCGAGCAGUCGUUGUCUUGAGCUUGCCGUAGCCAUCACCAUGGUCUUCCUCGAGCUUGCCGUCGCCGUCAUGUUCGUCGAGCAGUCGUUGUCUUCCUCGACGCUGCUUUGAAUGGCUUUUCCUUGAAAGGUUCAGAAAACCCUAACCUCCAUCACGCCGCCAUCUAUCUCACCGUCGCCACCCUUGGCCCUCAAGAUCGCAACCAGGUUCGUCCUUGUUGUUUGGCUUGUUGUCCCUCUCGCCGUUCUGCUCGGAAAGCUGCUCGCCUCUGUCUCGUGGUUCUGCUCGCCUCUGUCUCGCGGUUCUGCUCGCCAGGUCUCGCAGUUCUGCUCACCGUGCUGCUCGAAGCAGCAACAGAAGAAGAAGAAAGAGAAAAAGGUGUAUGAUUUACCUGGCCAGAAACGAGAUCCACUAGAGGAGAAAGAUCCUCUCAGGAUUUUCUAUGAGUUUAUAUGAGCAAGUUCCCACAAGCGAAAUGUCACAAAUCUGUGCUACAAGACCAAAAAUCUACUUUUGUGGAAGCUUUGAACUUUAACUAUGGGAAACCUUAUGAUCAAAUGACAAGAACAGCGAAGGAAACACGGAGCAUAAAUUUCGAGAAAGAAAAUCAAGCUCUAAGUCUAUAUCUGAUAGAGAAAUCAUGUUGUCAAGUACAAAAACGAAUUCCAGCGACACAAAAAGCGUCAAAAGUAACAUGGUUUCACCAAGAACAGCCAAACUUAUUACGCCACCUUCACGAUCUCCUGCUCCAGUAUCAGCACCAGCGUCAGCACGUGUUGAAAAGGAAUCCAAUUUUCGCGGGAAAAACACUUCCAUUUUAGCAAGGGCAGUGAUAAAAACAAUGGAGCUCAUCAUAAUGGAUGAUCAUACUACUCAUGAAAUUUGAUAUUUUGUAACUAAGUAUAUAAAAGAAGUAGAUAUGUGACACUUGUUGGAAUUGCAAUUCUUAUUUACUUGUUAUGACUUUACUUUUUGGUACUUUGUCAUCAAAAUCUACUUUUGUGGUGACAAGUUUUAUAUGUAUGUUUUUUUUUAUGGGAAAGUUUAUAUUUGUUGGAUUA